AACGAACGCUGGCGGCAUGGUUAAGGCAUGCAAGUCGAACGCGAAAUCCCGGCUUGCCGGGACGGUAGAGUGGCGCAAGGGCGAGUAAUGCAUGGGUAACGUACCCCGGGCACGAGGAUAGCCCCGAGAAAUCGGGGGUAAUACUCGAUGAGACCACGGUGUCGCAAGGCACAGCGGUCAAAGGGCGGGGAUCCCUUCGGGGACCUGUCGGCCCGGGAGCGGCCCAUGUCCUAUCAGCUUGUUGGUGAGGUAACGGCUCACCAAGGCAACGACGGGUAGCGGGACUGAGAGGUUGGCCCGCCGCAUUGGGACUGAGACACUGCCCAGACUCCUACGGGAGGCUGCAGCACCGAAUAUUGUCCAAUGGGCGAAAGCCUGAGACAGCAAUGCCGCGUGCGGGAGGAAGUCCCUCGGGAUGUAAACCGCUGUCAGGGGCUACCAAGCAAUGGGGUCUAACAUACCCCGGCGUUGAGGAGCCCCAGAGGAAGCCACGGCUAACUUCGUGCCAGCAGCCGCGGUAAUACGAAGGUGGCGAGCGUUGUUCGGAAUCACUGGGCUUAAAGAGCACGUAGGCGGACCGUCAAGCGUCUUGUGAAAUCCCUCGGCUCAACCGAGGAACUGCUUGGCGAACUGACGGUCUUGAGGCAGGCAGGGGUGUGUGGAACUCUUGGUGGAGCGGUGGAAUGCGUAGAUAUCAAGAGGAACGCCGGCGGUGAAGACGACGCACUGGGCCUGUCCGAGGCUUCAAUCCCGAUUCGUCGGGAUUGGAGGCCUCUCCUGACGCUGAGGUGCGAAAGCCAGGGGAGCGAACGGGAUUAGAUACCCCGGUAGUCCUGGCCCUAAACGAUGUCCACUAGGUUGACGGGUUCUCUGACGGAUUAUCGGCCGAAAUUAAAGCGAUAAGUGGACCGCCUGGGGGAGUACGGUCGCAAGGCUAAAACUCAAAGGAAUUGACGGGUGCUCACACAAGCGGUGGAGCAUGCUGCUCAAUUCGAUGCAACGCGAAGAACCUUAUCCUGGGCUUGACAUGUACGGAUGCCUAUCCUGAAAGGGAGUCGGCUGCCCUUCGGGGUGAAACGUACACAGGUGCUGCAUGGCUGUCGUCAGCUCGUGUCGUGAGAUGUUGGGUUAAGUCCCGCAACGAGCGAAACCCUUGUCGCUAGUUGCCAGCGGGCCUUCGGGUGCCGGGGACUCUAGCGAGACUGCCGGUGUCAAACCGGAGGAAGGUGGGGAUGACGUCAAGUCCUCAUGGCCUUUAUGCCCAGGGCUGCAAGCGUGCUACAAUGGCCGAGACAAACCGACGCAAUGCCGCGAGGUGGAGCAAAUCGGUAAAAACCGGCCCCAGUUCGGAUUGGAGUCUGCAACUCGACUCCAUGAAGUCGGAAUCGCUAGUAAUCGCGUAUCAGCUACGACGCGGUGAAUGUGUUCCUGAGCAUUGUACACACCGCCCGUCAAGUCAUGGAAGCCGGGAGCACCCGAAGUCGCCAUAUUUCAAUGGUGCCGAAGGUGAGUUCGGUAACUGGG
rnacentral:rRNA from 1 species